GUCGAGGGGCAGCACGGUAUAGCAAUAUAUGGGUGGCGACCGGCAAACGGGUGCGGAACACGUACACAACCUUCCGGUGAGCGGGGGAUAGCCCAGAGAAAUUUGGAUUAAUACCCCAUACUAUAAUGAUCAGGCAUCUGGUUAUUAUCAAAGGCUUCGGCCGCUUAUUGAUGGGUGUGCGUCUGAUUAGGUAGUUGGCGGGGUAGAGGCCCACCAAACCUACGAUCAGUAGCUGAUGUGAGAGCAUGAUCAGCCACACGGGCACUGAGACACGGGCCCGACUCCUACGGGAGGCAGCAGUAAGGAAUAUUGGACAAUGGACGCAAGUCUGAUCCAGCCAUGCCGCGUG
rnacentral:rRNA from 2 species